rnacentral:rRNA from 1 species
UGGCGGACGGGUGAGUAAUGUCUGGGAAACUGCCUGAUGGAGGGGGAUAACUACUGGAAACGGUAGCUAAUACCGCAUAACGUCGCAAGACCAAAGAGGGGGACCUUAGGGCCUCUUGCCAUCGGAUGUGCCCAGAUGGGAUUAGCUAGUAGGUGGGGUAACGGCUCACCUAGGCGACGAUCCCUAGCUGGUCCGAGAGGAUGACCAGCCACACUGGAACUGAGACACGGUCCAG